UUUUAUAUAGUUUAAUAAAACAUUUUAUUUUCAUUAAAAAAAUGACUUUACCAUUAGUCUGUAAAUA
rnacentral:tRNA from 1 species